rnacentral:rRNA from 1 species
CGCCGGGCGGAACGCUACCUCUUUGACACUCAGAAGAAACUUAAGCAGAGAUGCUUUAGGUGCCUCCGGGAACCCUGAGACAGGUGCCUGCAUGGCUGUCGUCAGCUCGUGUUGUGAAAUGUUGGGUUAAGUCCCGCAACGAGCGCAACCCUUAUCCUUUGUUGCCAGCGAUUCGGUCGGGAACUCAAAGGAGACUGCCGGUGAUAAACCGGAGGAAGGUGGGGAUGACGUCAAGUCAUCAUGGCCCUUACGAGUAGGGCUACACACGUGCUACAAUGGCGUAUACAAAGAGAAGCGACCUCGCGAGAGCAAGCGGAACUCAUAAAGUACGUCGUAGUCCGGAUUGGAGUCUGCAACUCGACUCCAUGAAGUCGGAAUCGCUAGUAAUCGUAGAUCAGAA